GAUGAACGCUGGCGGCGUGCCUAAUACAUGCAAGUCGAGCGAACAGACGAGGAGCUUGCUCCUCUGACGUUAGCGGCGGACGGGUGAGUAACACGUGGAUAACCUACCUAUAAGACUGGGAUAACUUCGGGAAACCGGAGCUAAUACCGGAUAAUAUAUUGAACCGCAUGGUUCAAUAGUGAAAGACGGUUUUGCUGUCACUUAUAGAUGGAUCCGCGCCGCAUUAGCUAGUUGGUAAGGUAACGGCUUACCAAGGCAACGAUGCGUAGCCGACCUGAGAGGGUGAUCGGCCACCCUGGAACUGAGACGCGGUCCAGACUCCUAAGGGAGGCAGCAGUAGGGAAUCUUCCGCAAUGGGCGAAAGCUUGACGGAGCAACGCCGCGUGAGUGAUGAAGGUCUUCGGAUCGUAAAACUCUGUUAUUAGGGAAGAACAAAUGUGUAAGUAACUAUGCACGUCUUGACGGUACCUAAUCAGAAAGCAACGGCUAACUACGUG
rnacentral:rRNA from 1 species